ACUGCUUCUUGGCCUUUUGGCUAAGGUCAAGUGUAGUAUCUGUUCACAUCAGUUUAAUAUAGGUGUUGAACAACAGUGGGAGAAAAAAUAAAAUUCCUCUUUUAUUAUACUUGAAGCGAAAUACAU
ensembl:snRNA U2 U2 spliceosomal RNA